rnacentral:lncRNA from 10 species
AUGCGGCUCCAUUUUUAAAACUAAUUGUUGCCACAGAUAGGCGACUACAUCUCUGGAAGCAGCAGCUCCAUGCUGGAUGUGGUGGAAGAAUCGAGAGGGAAUGGACUGGAAGUUUGGAAUCACCGGAAAAUAACAAGGCAUAGCUAAGCUGUGACUAGCAAGAUAAACGAUUUGUUCGAGGUUUGAUUGUCCUUUCCCUCCUCCACUCGGAAGACAUAGUUGUCUUUUUUUAAAUCAUGUUUUGUACCGAAAUAUUUUUAUUUUAUAAUUGAAUCCCUGUUGUUGGGCCUUUAAAAACCCAUAGAAACAUUGUUAUGUGCCACGAAGGUGGGAAACACGGCUUUCUCAGUCAUUGCUGUACUCCCACAAUUCUGGGUCAUGCACACAAUACAGGUUUAGUAAAUAAAAUCCGUAUGUUUUUGGCCCCA